rnacentral:lncRNA from 1 species
GCGACGACAACACAUGAUCCAUCGAUUAUUUCAACGACCACCACGAAACAGUGUAGAGCAGGUAGAUCGACGUGUGCUUGCGAUCUAAGACAGCUGCCCGCAGUCGGCGACGACGACCGGCUUCUUGGUGGAGCCGCUGUGGGAGCCCACCGCCUCGAUGCUCUUCACCACGUCCAUCCCCUCCACCACGCGGCCGAACACCACGUGCUUGCCGUCCAGCCACGAGGUCUGGGCGGUGCAGACGAAGAACUGCGAUCCGUUGGUAUUCUUCCCGGCGUUCGCCAUAGACAGCACCCCCGGACCCGUGUGCUUCUUUACGAAGUUCUCGUCCGCGAACUUCUCGCCGUAGAUCGACUCCCCGCCGGUGCCGUUGCCGCAGGUGAAGUCGCCGCCCUGGCACAUGAACCCCGGGAUCACACGGUGGAAGGUGGAGCCCUUGUAGUGGAGGGGCUUCCCGGAGCGCCCCACUCCCUUCUCGCCCGUGCACAGCGCCCGGAAGUUCUCUGCCGUCUUCGGCGUCACGUCCGCAUACAGCUCCAUCACGAUCCGCCCCACCGGCGCGCCGCCGACGGCCAUGUCGAAGAAAACGCAAGGGUUGGCCGCCAUCUCCGAUCGAUCGGUUAGGGUUUCAGGUCACGCCCCCUUCCUGUUCGAUUGUUUGCGCCCUUCUGUGACCGGAGUCGUUGGGUCAUAUAAAGGAACUGACGACGAGAGAUAUUUGGUCUAUAAACAAAUCUAGGCCGUCGAUGAAGGACGCGUGGAGGAAUCACAGUUUCGAUACGGCUACGUGAGUAGAGCAGCGGGGGGUUAGCUUAACCACAUGUGGGGUCAAAAUAUCAGGGUUUGGGUUUGAGGGCGUGGUGGGAGGUAAAGCCAUAUGCUGUUAGCCACGUGAUUAAUGGGGCGAGCGGCACAUGACCACGAGGGAGGUGGAGGCGUCCCCGCUCGCCACCGCGAAACCUGAUGGACACGUGAUAAUCACGUGUAAAACAGUGUGCGUGGCACGUAACCACAACGCGUAAAUGAUACUCGAAAAUCCUACCAGCUUUGUAGUUACCUUGUGGGACCCGUUCUGGGUCCGCUGCUUCAUCCAGUAACUAACUUAUCACAGGACCAACACCUCAGAUGAAACAUUAAACUUGUGCAGAUUGGGCCUUUCAGCCCGAGUGUGAAGUCGAAGCCUUUGACGGAGGACACCCAUCCAACAGCCUUUCAGCCCGAGUG